UGUGUGUGUGUGUGUGUGUGUGUGUGUGUGUGUGUGUGUGUGUGUGUGUGUAACGGACCAAACAUAAUAUCUCGCCUGGCUGAAACGCGUUAUAGGUACUAUACAGCAUUCUCUAUUGCAAGGUAUCUCGCAUGUAGCCAACAAAAAUCGUAUGAGCGCAAACAAGUUUGGCUGCCUCAAUUGACCGAGGCCAAAGUCACAUCAACGCCUCUCGCGCUAAAUUUCAUCGCAAAAGGUACCGCGUACCUCAUAUUUGAGUUCUUAGAUGACGGCGUAUGAUAACUCGAACUCCCAGGCC
rnacentral:lncRNA from 1 species